GAGAGAGAGAGAGAGAGAGAGAGAAGAGAAGGCUAAUCUUGAAAGUUUUUGCUUCUCAAGCUUGGAGGAUUCUACCUUCGGAUGCAAGGAAUCAGUAUAGGUCAUGGCCGGCCUCUGCCAACUUUUGAAAGAUUCUUUAGUAAAUCUUAUUAAUUACUCUGGGCCAAUAGCUUAUUCUGGAAGUGUAUCUCUUCAAUCAGAUAGAAAACCAGCAGGAGUCUACGCCACAUACCAUUGUAAGCCAUAUGGUGAUGCUUGUCUCAAAUGUUGGAGAGCGAGCGUAACAUGGUCGGGUGUUUGCACCCCAAGUUGUGCGAAGCAAUGCACGGAUUGGGAGUCUGCAAUCGAUGGAAGUUGUUCGUGGCUUUUCAAAUGCAAUUGCGCCUUCAUCGACUGUGAUAUUUGAAUUUGACAACACAACUCCUAUAGCAACGGGAAUUACAUUCAUUAUAAUUUUAAAGAAAUUUUAUAUUUUUAAAUUAUGUAAAAUUAAUUUUCUUUUAUAUUGAACAACGUGAAAAAUACUACCUGUUAAAAAUAGGGAAAGGCAGUGCUUCUUCACUUUUAAAGAGACGCUGCUUCUUCAAUAAACCAAAAGACAGUUUUUGGCUCAA